rnacentral:rRNA from 1 species
GAUGAACGCUGGCGGCGUGCCUAAUACAUGCAAGUCGAGCGAACAGACGAGGAGCUUGCUCGUCUCACGUGAGCGGCGGAUGUGUGAGUAACACGUGGAUCACGUACCUAAAAUACUGGGAAAACCACGGGAAACCGGAGACAAUCCCGGAGAAUAUACUGAAGCGCAUGGUUCAUUGGUGAAUUACGGCUUUGGUGUCAAUUAUAGAUGGAUCCGCGCCGCAUUAGCUAGUUGGUAAGGUAACGGCUUACCAAGGCAACGAUGCGUAGCCGACCUGAGAGGGUGAUCGGCCACACUGGAACUGAGACACGGUCCAGACUCCUACGGGAGGCAGCAGUAGGGAAUCUUCCGCAAUGGGCGAAAGCUUGACGCAGCAACGCCGCGUGAGUGAUGAAGGUCCUCGGAUCGUAAAACGCUGUUAUUAGGGAAGAACAGAUUUUGAAUUAACCAUGCACGUCUUGACGGUACCUGAUCAAAAAGCCACGGCUAACUACGUG